UACGUAGGGUGCGAGCGUUAAUCGGAAUUACUGGGCGUAAAGCGUGCGCAGGCGGUGAUGUAAGACAGAUGUGAAAUCCCCGGGCUUAACCUGGGACCUGCAUUUGUGACUGCAUUGCUAGAGUACGGCAGAGGGGGAUGGAAUUCCGCGUGUAGCAGUGAAAUGCGUAGAUAUGCGGAGGAACACCGAUGGCGAAGGCAAUCCCCUGGGCCUGUACUGACGCUCAUGCACGAAAGCGUGGGGAGCAAACAGG
rnacentral:rRNA from 1 species